rnacentral:lncRNA from 1 species
UUUAUUCUGACCGAUUCACCCGAUUCCGAUCCGGAUAGCCGAUUCGCCGAUCCGGAUCGCCGAUUCGCCGAUCCGGAUCGGUUUUUAAAAAGCCCGAUCCGGGUCACCGAUCCGGUUUUUAAACCAUUGGUAAUUACUAUCCCCUCUUUCCAUCGUUUGGAAUAUGGAAAGAAUAUUAUAGAACUCAUGACUAUGAAUAUGGGUAAUCCAUAGUUAUCAUGGUCAUCAGGGUUACCAUUUUUUAAAAUUCAAUAUGACUUUUUAUGUUUGAUAAUUCAUGACAGUCGUACUG